rnacentral:rRNA from 1 species
GUGAACCUGCGGAAGGAUCAUUAUCGAAAAGCAAUCCGGGGGGGAGGCCACCGAGCGAAGUUUGGUAGAUCGUAGGGAUUGUCGCUGGCCUUUGGAAACGAAGGCAUGUGCACGUUCCGAGUUCUCCUUAGUCCUCCUUUGCCUUUCCUUUGGAAGACCCCUUCUUCACACCCGUGCACACAUUGUAGGUCUCCGCGAGGGGAUCUAUGUCUUCACAAAACUCUACGUAUGUCCAGGAAUGUAUCUAAAGCGUCGAACGGCUCGGCUCCAUGCCCGGUCGCCGACGGUAAAGAACCAUAAUACAACUUUCAGCAACGGAUCUCUUGGCUCUCGCAUCGAUGAAGAACGCAGCGAAUUGCGAUAAGUAAUGUGAAUUGCAGAUUUUCAGUGAAUCAUCGAAUCUUUGAACGCACCUUGCGCUCCUUGGUAUUCCGAGGAGCAUGCCUGUUCGAGUGUCAUUUAAUUCUCAACCAUCCCUCGAUUCGUUUCGAGGUUUGGCUUGGAUUUUGGGGGCUGCCGGCGACCCUCGGGUCUUCGGCUCUCCUUAAAAGCAUUAGCGAUGGCGGCGCGAUCUGACCAUGCAUGAACGGCCUUCGACGUGAUAAUGAUCGUCGUGGCUGGAGUGCUAGCGGGCGUCGUGAAGUCAGCGCUUCUAGAUCGUCGUCGAAAGACGAAACUUUGAAACUUGACCUCGAAUCAGGUAGGACUACCCGCUGAACUUAAGCAUA